UACGUAGGGGGCAAGCGUUGUCCGGAUUUAUUGGGCGUAAAGAGCGUGUAGGCGGCCAAGCAGGUCCGCUGUGAAAACUCGAGGCUCAACCUCGAGACGUCGGUGGAAACCGUUUGGCUAGAGUCCGGAAGAGGAGAGUGGAAUUCCCGGUGUAGCGGUGAAAUGCGCAGAUAUCAGGAGGAACACCUAUUGCGAAGGCAGCUCGCUGGGACGUUACUGACGCUGAGACGCGAAAGCGUGGGGAGCAAACAGG
rnacentral:rRNA from 1 species